rnacentral:misc_RNA from 1 species
GGAAGUAUCGUAACAAGGUUUCCGUAGGUGAACCUGCGGAAGGAUCAUUAUUGUAUAACCGAGGUGCGAGGGCUGUCGCUGACCCGAAAGGUCGUGCACGCCCGAGUGCCCUCACACACAUCCAUCUCACCCCUAUGUGCACCACCGCGUGGGUCCCCCUUUGGCUUGUUCGGAGGGGGGCUUACGUUUUCACACAAACUUUGUAUGCAGUGUAGAAUGUAUUUUUUGUUUUUGCGAUCACGCAAUCAAUACAACUUUCAACAACGGAUCUCUUGGCUCCC